rnacentral:lncRNA from 1 species
ACCCACGCGCACACCUGGCUGGCGGUUGCACGGCACAGAGGGGGCUGUCGGGCGUCCCUACCCGCCAUCCUCCCCAAACUCCCUCCCCAGCCCAGAGCCCCGCAGCCCGGGAGCCUCUCCAGCCCCUAACACCGGCCGCGCGCAGCCAGCGGCUGCUAACAGGUACCGGGCGCCUUCCCACGCGCCGGGCGCCGGCCGGGCCUGCGGCUGCUCAGCACCCCAGCACUGCUGGAGCAGGCGGCGGCGGAGUGCGGGACGGCGGGGAGGGGCGCCUCGCGCGCGCCCUGCCACACUCACCACCACGGCAUCGCUGUCGGCCACUGAUCCCGCCAUCUUCUUGCCCGGCGCGGCGAGGAGAAGGUAUGACAUAGCUCCACCUACAUGCAAGGGGAGCCAGGAAGUGCAAUCCCUGGCUGGGCUGCCACGUCUCAGAAACCAUUAAGCCUAUGGAAGGUCUCUGGAUUUGAUGGCAAAUGGCAGCAGAAAUGUGGAAAAGAUCAAAGUGAUGUCAAGGUUGAUCUCUGAGUUUGGCAUGGCUGAACUCAAACAUCAUUUGCCAUGGACCCACAGUGUCUUCAGUAGCUGAGUGUGGUGUCAUUCCCCUAUGAUAUGUGCACUCAAUUGCUGGCCAGUUUUUGUUUUUUGUUUUUGAGAGAGUCUCGCUUUGUCUCCUAGGCUGGAGUGCAGUGGCACGAUCUCGGCUCACUGCAACCUCCGCCUCCCGGGUUCAAGUGAUUUUCCUGCCUCAGCCUCCCGAGUAGCUGAGAUUACAGGCAUGUGCCAGCAGGCCCGGCUAAUUUUUUUUGUAAUUUUAGUAGAGACGGGGUUUUGCCAUGUUGGCCAGGCUGGUCUCGAGCUCCUGGCCUCAAGUGAUCCACCUGCCUCCACCUCCCAAAGUGCUGGGAUUACAGGUGUGAGCCACUGUACCUGGCCCCAAAGUUUUAGAAAUUGGAUCAUUUUAAAUGUUGGAGGGGAGUUCAUUGUUUAGGAUGGCUGUGUGGCAAAUCUUUUUUUAAAGUAAGUAAUUCUCCUCUAUUAUAAGUCACCUCCUGAUCUCUACAUUUAAGGUUUGCUGUCCUGGAUGUGUUCACCUAUGAAUGUAAGUGUGCUGAGAUACACAGUGCAAGGCUGAAGUCAGAGUACACCACUGAUGAACCCCUGGGAACUGGUAACCCAGCCAGGGAAUGAACAUCUUUUAUGAAUCAGUUUAUCCACCAAACACUUGCAGAGAGCCUAUCCCAUGCCACCCCUGAGGGCACGGUGAUGGAGAAGAUAUGCUUCCUGCCUCCAAGAACCCCAUAGUCUAGUGGCAGAGACAAGCAGGUACAUAGCUGCCUAUAGUACAGCAUCACAGGUGCCAUAACAUUGUGUAAACUGGGAAUAAUUCUAUUCUCUGGAUAUAGAACAUCUAACCAAGAUAUUGAGUAUCUGGCUUCCCCUUCCCCACACUGGCCCUCACUGGGAUCCAUGUCUAAUAUUAUGAAAGUCACACAAUAUCAUUAUAAACUAAUCAUAAAUGGCACUGUCAGUUUGCUACAAAAACUUAUUCAGAAAAUAUUCAGAUUCUCCCAUCAACAUAUGCCGCUAUGUUGGCAAAAGCUCUGAUUUAAAAUACUUAUUUCGUUUUCCUCUCCGAUUUUGUUCUAGUCUUCAAAAUGAUUUCAUACAACAUAGCACUGAGUUCCUUAGUUCCUCUGACCCCUGCCAGAUCUGAAGCUGUGAUGUUCAAAAGUCAGGGCAGAGUCCAUCUUAUGAUUGAGUUUCAUAAGAGUCUAAGCCACUGAUCAACAUACUGUGGCAGAGUAAGCUUUCUGGGUUCCAGAAUUUAUUGUGAGUGGGCUGAGGGAGUUGAGAAAUGGCAUGGGAGGCCUAAAGAGAAAAUAACUUUUGAAUGAAAAUUAUAGGAAAGUGGAUUUGAGAUCAAAACAAAGGAAGGUUGAUCAUAGUUGGAAUCAUUUAAGAUUGGUGGGGGUAGUGGGCUUCUGGUUCUUAACCCAGGCCAGGCAGAGGUGUGACAACAGUCAGGGGUUUCUAAACAGGGUGGGAGGUUAGAUGAGAAUAGCCUUCAACCCUUUGUGUUGAACUAAAAUCCUAGCUCUGCUUUCAACUCCUAGACUCUGCUUCAUCAUUGCUAAGUUGGAAAGAGCAAGCAAUUGAGAGUCCCUGCUGGCCACAGCUGGGGUGCCCCAGACCACAGCACUGAGCCUCAAAGGCAAGUGAGCAUAGUGUUGGGAGCUGGGCUUCUGGAUCCAUCAACUCCAUCUGAUGACUCGGAAGUUCCUUCAGUUCCCAACACUGGAGUCCAGCAAGGCUGGUUUGUCUUGUUUUAAUUAUUAUUUAGAUGACUGUUUGGCUCAUACCUGAGCAAGGUUCAAAUCAAGUCAGACCUGUUAAUUUAAUCAAAGUUAUAUAAUCACAUUUGGGCACUUAAAUGUAAACCAAUUAUGUUGGAAGCCAAGUAUCUUGUACUCAGGAGGGAGUUCUAAUAAGUGCUGGGAAUGUAUGCUAAUGCACAAAGCCUAACCCCCAGAGUGGAGGGUGGAGCACUCCAGGGCACUCCUGUUUCGGUGACGUUGUUUUAAUAGCUAGUGCUCUGGGUGCAGUCUGGGAAGAUAUUGGAAACAUCUCAAGCAAGUAUGACAUCCAUUUUACCCAAGCCCAUGGAACCCAUUAUGUUUGGAACAUGUCUGUCUGUGGCAUUUGGCUUGGCUUAUAAAUGCACUAUCAGAAUCUAUAGGAGGCCUUCGCAACAAGACGUGUCUUGGCCUUUCUGGUUAUCAGCAAUCCCUCCACCUCUCUCUUAACAAACAUAUGCCAUAAGUCCUGAUCAGGCAUUUAGUUUUUUCACUUGGACCUUUUCCUAGUUCCUAGUCUCAACCCCAAUGCCUCCUAAUCUUGUACUUCUUCAAAUACUGGCCCCCCUCUACUAUGAGAGAGAGAGGAAAGUAGGGAGGAGAAGGAGGAAAAGUUAUUGAGUUGAUAUGAGGGUAGUCAACCUAAAGCAACAAUCAGGAGUAAGGUACUGGACUUGAGUUUGAAGUGUUUGUCACUAAACUCUCUCAAACUCUUCCAGGCUAACUAGCCUCAGAGGGCUUCUAGCCCAUAGUCUCCUUGUAUUUUCUGCCCUCCUCACUUGGAGUGGGAGGGAACCAGAUGUCCAGUCUUUGUCCCGUGUUAAGAACUGGCCUGGCAGGCUUUGUUGAGACCAUCCAGACUUGAAAGCCUCACAACCAGAUGCCAUCACAGGCACUUUCUGCUCUUAACCUUUGUCUGUGUCUCCUACAUGAACUCAUCAGACUGCCUCUGAAGAGGGACAUUCUAGGGACAGUUUCAUCUUCAUCACCAUCCUGGAUAGGGAACCCUUCCAGACUCAGAGUUGCAAAAGUCAGGGAGGGGCUGCUCACUGGAGGUGGAGUCCUUUGGCCAGGUUUCACUGUAAACACAUGGCUAAAAUGUGUCGCACAUGGACAGGCAUGCUAGUGUGCUCUGGAUACAUGCUAGUGUGCCCCAGAUAUAUGCUAGUGUGCCCCGUAUAGCUUCUGGCUAAAGGACACACCUCAGCAAGGCCAAAUGAGGCAUCAGGAUGAACUCUUCAAAUAGACUUCAUUAGACCCACAGAAGACUAACCUUUGCCUGACUUUGGAUUACCCCUUUCUUGCCAGGAAUUAUGUUCAAUGACUAUAUCUGGAACUAGAGGUCUUGAUAGCCACACUUUGCUUGGUGUGGCUUCUCAGUCUUUUAAGGACAUGGCUAUCAAGGGCUCAUGUUUAUUCCAGGUCAGCCCUUUACCCCUUUCCUCCAGGGGCAUCUAUGGCAACAAAAGACCAUGACAUCUGGCAGGGCUGGCAGGACUAUUUAGUUUAGGCAGGAAUGUGGGUGUUAGCAUGUCAGAGUACAUCUGAGAAAACAUUCCAAACCAACCUUUCCACACUGGGAACUCAACCCCCAGGAAUCACCAAAGAUAAGGGCAACAGUCUUAUCUCUCGAGGGAAGUUCAGGGUAAAGUCCACUCCUGCUGUGGACCAGAGCUCAGGGAAGAAGAAAGCUCAGGCUGGCUCUGCCUGUCCACUUGAUGAACUUCCACAAAUGCCACUCUGGGAGCUGAGGCAUAUGAAGUGGGGAAGAAAAUACCAGCCCUGCCCUGGAGCUCUGGGAUGGUGGCUGUACACCCCUAAAGAUGCCAGCAGAUCUGAACUGUGGCCUAUGUGUGUUUGGGAAUUGAGAAAUAAGGAGAUAGAGGGACAGCAGGCAGGAAAAACUACAAUUAGUCUCAGCUCACACAGAUUUGGGAGUAUGCAGAUCUGAAUUGUGGCCUCCAUGUGUUUGGCUGAAGGAUAAUGAUCUCAGGCCCAGACUUUUUUUUUUUUUUGUAUCACUCGCUCAGGGGGCUCUGACCAGGAGCUUCUUUCAGAUGACACAGAUCCCGAGGAGCCACUUGCCUUCUACCCAUGACACUUCUAAGAGUGACUCUUGCCAUGUGACCAUAGAGAUAAGUGAAGUUUUCUCCAAUGACAUCAUUAAGAAGUCUAAACUUCCCCAAAGGGAGAGGCUGUGACUAGGAACACAAAUGUCUCAGUGUAUCACACUCAUGCUCCCAGAUCUGUGGGCAGAAAAAGAAAUCAUAGAAUGGUGCAUAUCCUAAAAAUAAAAAGGAAAUUGCUUUUCAAGUUAUGAAAUUUGGCCCUUCUCAUUGUGAGUUUAAAGUACAUGUUACUGCUUCAGUUUCUAAAACAGGAGGUGGCCAAAUUCAGAGUUUAAAAUGUCUAAGUGGUUAUUUGAAAACAGAUAUUUAGAGGCAACUGAGAGAAGAAUACUGGGGCCAUGGGUCUGCAGUCACUUUCCCAGCAGUGCUCUGAGGCCUUGGGUCUCAUAAAAGGUAAUCAUAGUUACGCCUUUUAAAGAAAGCUGAGUCUAACUGUAGCUUUUCCUGCCUGUUGUCCCUCUAUCUCCUUACUUCCCAAUUCUAUCUAUCUUUCAAAACCCAGCUCAAAUCCCACCUCCUUCCAUAAGUCUUCCAUUGUUUAAUAUAGUUGGAAUUUACCUCUCCCUCCUCUAACUCCCAUGGCAUUUUAUUUACACCUCUCUGAUGGCCACUUUCUACUUUCUAUAAGGUAAGUUAUAUACUUGUUUUAUAUCAAUAAAUUUCAAAAUAUUGAAAUCUUACAGAGUAUGUUCUCUAACCACAAUGAAAUUAGAUCAUAUAUUAAACUACCUAGAUAAUCCUACAUAUUUAGAAAUUAAAUAACACAUUUAUAAAUAACCAUGGAUCAAAGGAGAC